rnacentral:rRNA from 1 species
AUGAAUAUCCUUAGCUGGAACUGUCGAAGGGCGGGGAACCCUCGGACAGUUCGUGAUCUUGUGAGCUUGGUGCAGGCUCAGUCCCCUAGUAUCGUCUUCCUUUGUGAAACUAGGCAGCCAAAAAAUAAAAUGAAGAGACUGCAUGCUCGUUUAGGUUUAAGAAGUUUUGAUGCUUUCGAUUGUAAUGGUCUUAGUGGUGGUCUUGCCUUGUAUUGGCAUGAUUCAGUGAGUCUUGAUGUAAAAGAAAUAAAUGAACGAUACAUUGAUGCGUAUGUGACUGAUGUGGCGGCAACACCACCCUUGCGGCUUACCUGCGUCUAUGGUGAGCCUCGGACGGAGGAUCGUCAUCGUAUG